AGCAGCCUACUCGCCACCUACUGGGACAAAGUGACUGUAUGACUGACAAAAGGGCUCACUCUGUUCAUGCCGUUGUUCCAUUGAAACAAUCCAAGGUGCUGAAACCAAUGCACAGACUGGACUCUCUCUCUGCCUGUUUGGAGUCAGCCACAAGAGAUGACUGGUGGAUACAUCAUCACUACGCUGCUGAUCGUUUUCCUCAGAACGCACUCAGCCGUGUCCAUGACCAUGAUGACGUCUUUAUGAGGCUUUCCCAAGCCACGAAGAAGGAGACAAAGAGAAGUUUUGUAAUGACGGAAGAUUAGUGUGUGUCAUUUUGUUGCACUUUUGUAUUUAAUGCUGUUUUCAGUCUUGGAUAUGGAAACAAUAUGACCAGAAAAGAAGAAGCUGACAUAAAGAGGCCAAGAAGACAAGAAAAUGGAGAUAAGGUGAUGAUAAGGAUGGUGGGGAGCUGGAGCCUAUCCUAGCAGGUUUUGAACAAAAGGCAGACUACACCCUGGACUGAACAAAAGUACUGUUGUGCAAGUGCUCAUGAAUUACUUCAAAGUUAAGUUCAUAUUGUAUAAAUAUGCAUAGUUCACCUUCAUACGUCAUCAUUUCAGUUUUAACUUGUUCAAAGUUCAGUUAUGUCAAUUUUUUUUAGAGAAGAAGUGAGAAUGAAAGACUGCUGAUUUGGGUCGUUUGAGGUGAAGAUGAAGAAGGAGUACCGUGCAAAACCAUGCAGCACCAGACGUUGCAUUAAUGGAUGUCAGGGUCACAUCAAAGGCAGAGCACUGACCUUCGACCCAGUGACCCUAGUUUAGCAGCUUUACGACACAGCGGGGCGAGAAUCCAUUAGCUACAGCGACAAUAAAAACACACAAGGAGCCCGACUGGACUUUUACACAGUGUGUGGACAUGUGUGCGCCAUCCUGUUGGGGAGCGGAACAUUGUCGUCAGACCAUCACCGCACAAGAGGGUUCCACUGACAUGUGAGGAUGAGAGACGCACAAUGACAUCAUUUAACGGAGACGGUGCUGGAGGUCGACAUCAUCCGCUGCCUGUCAAUCAUCAUCAACGCCCUCCAGGAAAAAGGUUUAUCUGCUGCUGACGGACUGACAGAUCGGUACCUAUUCAUGUAUGUGUGCUGAUUUUCUGCAUUUGCUUCAAACAAAUGUGGCGUCUACA